rnacentral:rRNA from 1 species
UACGUAGGGGGCUAGCGUUGUCCGGAAUCAUUGGGCGUAAAGCGCGUGUAGGCGGCCCGGUAAGUCCGCUGUGAAAGUCCAGGGCUCAACCCUGGGAUGCCGGUGGAUACUGUCGGGCUCGAGUCCGGAAGAGGCGAGUGGAAUUCCUGGUGUAGCGGUGAAAUGCGCAGAUAUCAGGAGGAACACCGAUGGCGAAGGCAGAUCUCUGGGCCGUAACUGACGCUGAGGAGCGAAAGCGUGGGGAGCGAACAGG